CUUGAUGGAGCCGAGCCACAACGGCCGGUCCUCGGGCCGAUCCUGCCCGUAUGCCGACAGCAGUGCCUGCGCCUC
rnacentral:antisense_RNA from 1 species